rnacentral:lncRNA from 1 species
CUGGCUCUUUCCUACUGAAAUUAGGGGGUUUAACAACUAUCACAGGCCUGCUGAGUGGCAGGUAAUGAUGUGCCAGACUGAGAAUAUAGAGACAAAGACAUGGUCUCUCGAAGAUGAGAAGGAAAUGGAACAGGCUCUGGGACAAGAUACAGUGGGAAAGUUACGGUAAUGGCUGUUGUGUGCAAGAGCCCAAGGAGGUGGGGUGACUGCCCUGCAAUGGUCCCUUUCAAGAGGCAAGUGUUACAUGGAGGGGAGGAUCAAAAGGAGCUGGGCCAGCAUGAUACAGAUGAAAAGCUUGGGAAUGAAAAGGACUCUGGACACAAUGAGUCUGCAUUUCUGCUUCAUUUCACAUUUUCCUCACAACUUCACCAGAUAUCUUAACAUGCGGAUUCUGAUUCCAUAGGAAAUUGUUGGAUAUGGUCUCUAAGUCACAGCUUUGCUGCUUAUUCCUAGACCACAGUCUGAAUAACAAGAGACCAGAGGACUAAGACAACCAGAUUUGCUUCCUUGGCCAUGGAGUCUAGCACUGGUUUGACUACUGGAUGGAGAAGUCUCAACUGUCAGUUGACUUUAGCUGAUACUUAAAUUCAGGAGGUUGGGGGAAAAGGGUCCAAGAUGGCAAAGUAGGAAGACCCUUAACUCUCCUCCACAGGCAUAACCAAAUCUACACAUAUUUAUAGAGCAAGUUCUCCUGAAGACCGCUAACUUGAGAGCUGCACGUGGAAAAUUAUAAGAAGGACCAGCCCGUGACAAAGGGAAACCCUGACACUGCUGCAGUGGGGUGGAAUGCUUAUGUAAGACUGCACAGAUUGGUUUGCCUGGGGGCACAGAGGAAAAAGCUGCCAUUUAAACGAGCAACUAGAAUAUAAAAAUCACAGCACUGAAACCCUACCUAACAGAAGGGCACUUUUGGAACUAGGGUAGGUGGGUGAUCACUACCAUUUACAGUCCCCCCUCCACCUUGAUACUACAGACAGGAGCGGAGUGCAGGCACUGUGAUCAGUGUGUCCGUGAACCCUGACCCCUCAUACCCACCAGCCCAAGACCAUCCAUAUGCAUACCAGGAGACCUGCAGUCGCUGCUCACUACAAUACCUGUCUCUCCAAGGUGACAGGUCCCCGCAUCCUGGAACACUCCAGACACCUGGCCAGGGCACUCCCAAUGCAGAGAGCCACCAGGACCUCCAGGCUCCUGCUCACUUUGGCUCUAGCCACCCACACACAUACGCCCCUGGCCUGUAGCACACAUAGGCUCCAACCUCCCCACCAAAGUACCACCUAAGGGGAGUACCCCAGGACAUCCUGAUGUGUACACUUUAACUUCAGCUGUCCUGCCAGACAGCUCCAGGGUGCCCUCUGGAGAGCCCCAGGACUGCCAUAGCCUGUACCAAUGUCCACUUUAGCUAUACUGCCAUAGUUUCUGGAGAUCCACAGGACCACCCUACCCCAUGCUCACUUCAGCAUCCCACCAAGGACAACCGCAUCAUGGAGUGCCCCAGGAACCCAGCCCACGCCACUGCAACUCUGGGCAGACAGCCAAAGUUGCCAGGCCCACACAGCCUACACAAGCGGACAACCACACACAAGACCCUUUCUUCAAAUUCAGGAGAAGUAGUUGGAUUUCUAAUUCAGAGAAACCCAAAGUCCAGCAAAAGGAGAGGAAUAUGCUUC